CCUACGGGUGGCAGCAGUGGGGAAUAUUGGACAAUGGGCGAAAGCCUGAUCCAGCCAUGCCGCGUGUGUGAAGAAGGCCUUCGGGUUGUAAAGCACUUUCAGUGGGGAAGAAAGCCUUGGGGCUAAUACCCUCGAGGAAGGACAUCACCCACAGAAGAAGCACCGGCUAACUCCGUGCCAGCAGCCGCGGUAAUACGGAGGGUGCGAGCGUUAAUCGGAAUUACUGGGCGUAAAGCGCGCGUAGGCGGUCUGAUAAGCCGGUUGUGAAAGCCCCGGGCUCAACCUGGGAACGGCAUCCGGAACUGUCGGGCUUGAGUGCAGAAGAGGAAGGUAGAAUUCCCGGAGUAGCGGUGAAAUGCGUAGAGAUCGGGAGGAAUACCAGUGGCGAAGGCAGCCUUCUGGACUGACACUGACGCUGAGGUGCGAAAGCGUGGGUAGCAAACAGGAUUAGAUACCCUAGUAGUC
rnacentral:rRNA from 1 species